AGGAAGCAGGCAGAGUUGUAACGUGUUAUCAUGAAAAAUAAUCACAGAGGACGGCACAGAAGUGGGUCGUUCGGAUUCAGAGUGGAGGAGGAGGAAAACACUUGACAUGUUUUCUGAGUCAGAGAUUUAAUCCUCCAUGUCUCCUCUGUACCUCUUACAGCCACCAUGACGGCAUGCUCUACACAGAACAUCAGCAUUGGGACACAGAGGACAUGUGUGUGGGUGGAGCACAGAGCUCAAGGAAAGGGCUGUCAUAUAUAAAGGUCCGAAUCAUGCCUUGAUGCUGAUCUUCAAUCAGAUUUAAGCACCAUCCAGGUCCAACAACACAUUCUAAUCCAGCAGCAGUUAAUGAUAAGCCUGUGUCGGAGCGUGGGUGUGCAUCUCUUGUUUAGUAUUGUUGUUAUCAAUAUACCCAAGUGCAUCUAAUGGGGUCAAAAGCUCUGAAUGA